rnacentral:lncRNA from 1 species
AAACGCCUAGAGCGGAGUUCCGCCGGGGAGAACCUCCUUAUUGAUCCCAGAUGAAACGGCUAGUUGGCGGAAGUCGCGAAGGGCGCGCCUCCCGUUCCUUCGGCAGGGGUCUCUCAGCCAUGCGCCAGAGAGAAGGUCCACGAUCCAUGGCAACAUGAACAGCUCCGACUUGGCAAACUCCAUCGCACCUGCACCUGUAUUUAUAGCCAAACUGCAGCCCCCCGUCGUUCCGAUGCGGGUGGCUCCCAUAAAUGCGGACGCAUUGAAUCCGGAGCCGUUCUGGCUCUCGAGGCGUAUCUUCCUGCGAUUUCCUAAGCGUCAUUCUCCUUAAUCGCAUUCUUUGUGCAGGACACUCCGGGUGGCACGUACCCCUAGGUCCACAUAUCUCCG